rnacentral:rRNA from 1 species
GAUGAACGCUGGCGGCGUGCCUAAUACAUGCAAGUCGAGCGAACAGACGAGGAGCUUGCUCCUCUGACGUUAGCGGCGGACGGGUGAGUAACACGUGGAUAACCUACCUAUAAGACUGGGAUAACUUCGGGAAACCGGAGCUAAUACCAGAUAAUAUAUUGAACCGCAUGGUUCAAUAGUGAAAGACGGUUUUGCUGUCACUUAUAGAUGGAUCCGCGCCGCAUUAGCUAGUUGGUAAGGUAACGGCUUACCAAGGCAACGAUGCGUAGCCGACCUGAGAGGGUGAUCGGCCACACUGGAACUGAGACACGGUCCAGACUCCUACGGGAGGCAGCAGUAGGGAAUCUUCCGCAAUGGGCGAAAGCUUGACGGAGCAACGCCGCGUGAGUGAUAAAGGUCUUCGGAUCGUAAAACUCUGUUAUUAGGGAAGAACAAAUGUGUAAGUAACUAUGCACGUCUUGACGGUACCUAAUCAGAAAGCCACGGCUAACUACGUG